GCGAGUCCUCGCGCAGUCGCAGCGCGACGUGCGUGCGGUGCUCGAGCGCGAUCGGCAGCGCGAGGCCGCCGUUGUAGUCGGUGUGCUCGCC
rnacentral:tRNA from 1 species